rnacentral:misc_RNA from 1 species
AUCCAGAAGCACAGUCGUCACCUCUUUCUCCAAGCUAGAAGAGCCUAGAAAUCUUCUGCACUCAUAUAUAAAUCACCCCUCCUCCUUCCCUUCCCUCACGAAAAUAUCAACCGAAAGUGUCCAUUCAUAAUCGGCUUUCAUUCUCCAUUGCUUUCUGCAAGUAACGACUUACAUUUUUUAAGCUUUUUCUCUAAUGGCAGAUGUUCAAAUGGCUGAGGCAGAGACCUUCGCUUUCCAAGCUGAGAUCAACCAGUUAUUGAGCUUGAUCAUCAACACUUUCUAUAGCAACAAGGAGAUUUUCCUUCGGGAACUUAUUAGCAAUUCUUCUGAUGCAUUG